GGUGGCUCAGUGGUAGAGUGUUUGCCUUGCAUGCAAAAGGCCCUGAGUUCAAUUCCUCAGCACCA
rnacentral:tRNA from 1 species